CACGUAGGGUGCGAGCGUUGUCCGGAAUUAUUGGGCGUAAAGAGCUCGUAGGCGGCUCAGUAAGUCAGGUGUGAAACCUCCAGGCUCAACCUGGAGACGCCACCUGAUACUGCUGUGGCUAGAGUCCGGUAGGGGAGCGUGGAAUUCCUGGUGUAGCGGUGAAAUGCGCAGAUAUCAGGAGGAACACCAGCGGCGAAGGCGGCGCUCUGGGCCGGAACUGACGCUGAGGAGCGAAAGCGUGGGUAGCAAACAGG
rnacentral:rRNA from 1 species